UCCAAGUGUUUUCCUCACAAUUUAUAAUGAAUAGAUUUACUUGGAAGAGCGUGAUAUUCGUUCUUUUAAAUUUCACCUGUUCUGUAGGAGAGCCAACUGCCAGACAGGAUGAAUGCUUUAAAAAAAAGCCACCCAACAGAUGCAGAAUCCAGCUGUUUGAAACUAGGACUGAAAGAAAAGCAAAGUGCAUCACAUAUAAUCCAAUCAAGUUGACACCUCUGAUCUCCAUUUAAAGGCUACGUGUGACAGAAAUGUUUGAAAUUCUAUAUGAUUUUUUCCCUAUUUUUUUCUGUUUGAACAAUGGCAACAAUUCAAGAGAAUAUGACAAAGCAGUAAAAAAGAAAACAUAGAGGUUAAGUAUGAAAUACAAAAAUAAUAAUAAUUAAAAAAUCCUGCAGACUAGUGUUAAAAUGCCACGAAGCACAGUUUAUUAUUUAAGAUCAAAUGAUCCAAGGUGAGCUACAACUGAAUCUAAACUUCACUGGGAGCUUCUACUUUCGCUCUGAAAGUCAUCUUGCCUUUGGCAUCUAACCUUAAUCUGCUGGAGAUGCCACUCACCGCUGGCAGCACCAAGUCCUACAGAAGGCACCGCCAUUAUCUCUCAGCCUCACAGCGAACAGAGAGGUGACAGUGGUUGGUAGGAUUGGCUUCUGGCAAGGGCUGUCAUCCAGAAAGCAAGAUUAUGGUUAAGAAAUUCAAGGAAUUCAAAACUUUAUGCACCAGAAGAGUGCUGCUGACAUCAGGCUAUAGAAAUACUCCAAAUUGAUGCAGGCAUGAGAAGACCCAGCUCACACUUCUGCUAAGCAGAAACAGGAAUUCAGCCUAUGUUCAUUCCUCUACUGAUUAGCUCUGAGCACUGCCCUUGCAAAGGACAUUUUUGUAGACCAUUCUUUUAAGACAACUAAAUGCCUCAUCAAUGCACUCACCAAUGAAGCAUCUUUAAAAAAGAAUAUAAUUAUUUUCUCUGACUCUAUGAUAAGGAAUCUACUGGCACAAGUUGACCCUCCUGAGCUAUGGAGUUGGUUUCUAAUUUGAUAGCAUUGCAAUAUUUGAUUUGUCAGAGUAUAGACAGCUUCUUUGCAACUCAAUCUUAGUGCAGAAAGCCUUCAAAAAAAUCCUGCAGAGUGGAGGUGAAAAUGUAUUCCCUGUGGCUAUAAAGGAGUUUAGUUUUUUGUGAGUGUGUAAAUAUGCCCUGUGGCUUUUAUGAAUGCCUCCACAAGAUAGAAUUUUGAUCAAAAUCAAAAGGGAUUCCAAAGGAAAAAAGUCUCAUUUCUAAAUUGAAUGCAUAAAAAAUUGCUCGUUUGUUGACUGAAAGGCUACUGUGUGAUCUGUG
ensembl:lncRNA